rnacentral:rRNA from 1 species
CCUACGGGAGGCAGCAGUGGGGGAUAUUGCACAAUGGGGGGAACUCUGAUGCAGCGACGCCGCGUGAGCGAUGGAGUACUUCGGUAUGUAAAGCUCUGUCAGCAGGGAAGAAAAUGACGGUACCUGACCAAGAAGCCCCGGCAAAAUACGUGCCAGCAGCCGCGGUACUACGUAUGGGGCAAGCGUUAUCCGGAUUUAUUGGGUUUAAGGGGUGCGUAGGCGGAAUAUCAAGUCCGCGGUAAAAAUUCGGGGCUCAACCCCGUCGUGCCGUUGAAACUGAUGUUCUUGAGUGGGCUAGAGGUAUGCGGAAUGCGUGGUGUAGCGGUGAAAUGCAUAGAGAUCACGCAGAACUCCGAUUGCGAAGGCAGCAUACCGGCGCCCAACUGACGCUGAAGCACGAAAGCGUGGGUAUCGAACAGGAUUAGAUACCCCUGUAGUC